rnacentral:snRNA from 1 species
AACGCUUAUUAGCUCUCUGAGCUAACGUCAUGUGUAGUAUCUCUUCUUUGCAGUGUAAUUUCUGCAGCGGUCUCUAAACUCAGACGAAUGAAAUUACGUGUAUUUUUCCCUUAUUGACGGGUGCUGUGAGCUUGCUGUGCGUCGGUGGCACAGUGGUUAGAACUCUC